rnacentral:rRNA from 1 species
CAGCCGCCGCGGUAAUACCGGCGGCCCGAGUGGCGGUCACUAUUAUUGGGCUUAAAGCGUCCGUAGCCGGGUUGGGAAGUCCUCCGGGAAAUCUGGCCGCUUAACGGUCAGAAUGCCGGAGGAUACUCCCAGCCUAGGGGGCGGGGGAGGCCGAGGGGAUUCCCGGAGUAGGGGUGGAAUCCUAUAAACCCGGGAGGACCACCUGUGGCGAAGGCGCUCGGCUGGAACGCGUCCGACGGUGAGGGACGAAGGCCAGGGGAGCAAACCGGAUUAGAUACCCGGGUAGUCCUGGCUGUAAACGAUGCGGACUUUGUGUCGGACAAGCUAUGAGCGUGUCCGGUGCCGGAGGGAAACCGUUAAGUCCGCCGCCUGGGGAGUACGGCCGCAAGGCUGAAACUUAAAGGAAUUGGCGGG